UCACCCUGACUUCUGGCCACAACAUGACUGUUACCAUGUUUACACAUACGUAGUUAUUUUGACAAACGGAGACAUUUUCCUUCGUUUGUGCCCUUCGUUUGCAUGCAAACGGAGAAUUUGCCUCUGAACACGAUUCUUUCUGAAAACGUCUUUCUAAAAACUCCAGCCAGAGUGAAGAUUUUG